UACGUAGGGGGCAAGCGUUGUCCGGAAUCAUUGGGCGUAAAGCGCGUGUAGGCGGUUCGGUAAGUCUGCUGUGAAAGUCCAGGGCUCAACCCUGGGAUGCCGGUGGAUACUGUCGGACUAGAGUCCGGAAGAGGCGAGUGGAAUUCCUGGUGUAGCGGUGAAAUGCGCAGAUAUCGGGAGGAACACCAGUGGCGAAGGCGACUAUCUGGGCUGCAACUGACGCUGAGGCGCGAAGGCUAGGGUAGCAAACGGG
rnacentral:rRNA from 1 species